rnacentral:tRNA from 1 species
AGCGGGGUGGAGCAGUGGUAGCUCGCCAGGCUCAUAACCUGGAGGUCGCAAGUUCAAUUCUUGCCCCCGCAA